rnacentral:rRNA from 1 species
UACGUAGGGUGCAAGCGUUAAUCGGAAUUACUGGGCGUAAAGAGCGCGCAGGCGGUCGUUCAAGUCGCGUGUGAAAGCCCCCGGCUCAACUGGGGAGGGUCACGCGAUACUGAUCGACUUGAAGGCAGGAGAGGGAAGUGGAAUUCCCGGUGUAGUGGUGAAAUGCGUAGAUAUCGGGAGGAACACCAGUGGCGAAGGCGACUUCCUGGCCUGUUCUUGACGCUGAGGCGCGAAAGCUAGGGAGCAAC